rnacentral:rRNA from 1 species
GGCGAACCGGCCGAACGUUAUUCGGAAUCAUUGGGCUUAAAGGGUGCGUAGGCGGUGCGGUAAGUUGGGUGUGAAAUCCCUCGGCUCAACCGAGGAACUGCGCUCAAUACUGCCGUGCUUGAGGAAGACAGAGGCGAGCGGAACUGAUGGUGGAGCGGUGAAAUGCGUUGAUAUCAUCAGGAACACCAGUGGCGAAAGCGGCUCGCUGGGUCUUUUCUGACGCUGAGGCACGAAAGCUAGGGUAGCGCUCAGG